rnacentral:lncRNA from 10 species
UUCGAAACCAGCCUGGCUAACAUGGUGAAACCCCAUCCCUGCUAAAAAUACAAAAGAAAAAAAUUAACUGAGCGUGGUGGCACACACCUGUAAUCGCGGUUAUUUGGGAGGCUGAGACAUGAGACUUUCUUGAACCUGAGAUCGGGCCCCUGCACUCUAGCCAGACUCUGUCUCAAGAAUAAAUAAAUAAAUAAUAAAUAAAAUUAUACUGAUUAGCUUUUCCUGUGAAUU